rnacentral:rRNA from 1 species
AUACAGAAGGUGCAAGCGUUAAUCGGAAUUACUGGGCGUAAAGCGCGCGUAGGUGGUUUGUUAAGUUGGAUGUGAAAGCCCCGGGCUCAACCUGGGAACUGCAUCCAAAACUGGCAAGCUAGAGUACGGUAGAGGGUGGUGGAAUUUCCUGUGUAGCGGUGAAAUGCGUAGAUAUAGGAAGGAACACCAGUGGCGAAGGCGACCACCUGGACUGAUACUGACACUGAGGUGCGAAAGCGUGGGGAGCAAACAGGAUUAGAAACCCUAGUAGUCC